CGGCACAAGGAAGUCCCGGAGAGUGGGAAGGGGAAAACGGAAAGUUUUGGGGCGGAAUGGCGGUCAGGAGCCUACGUGUUUGCUGUCACUGAGAGCUCUUUGCGGAAGAACGUGAUGUCACCCACGGCAGCACAACAAAGAUCGCUGGCUACGCGGGUCCGUGGAUGUGUGGAAAGGAGAACUCCCGAAACACGGCGGGGACACGUUCCCCGGGCUAAAGCGAUUCAUCGUCGUGUUGGGAGCUUGGAGAUGGCAGCACGAGGCCGUCAGCGCUCAGACAGGCCUACAGGCAGUUGCCUCACGUUCUAAAUAAGCUCCCAUUCGACUUUUUUUUUUUUUUUUUUUUUUCCAAAAGUAAAACCUGCGUUAGGUUUUUAUUGGUUAAAAACGUAAACGGACGAAGCCCCCUCCAGAUCUAUAGUGAGAUGGCGUUGAAUUUUCCAUUUGCGUGCUCUUCGUUUGUUUGCGCUUCUUUUUCAAAGUCCUGCUGGCUCGCGAGUGAGGGAAGCUCCUCAGGACAGGGUCCCAAGGCAGGACUUGCGCAGCCUUUGAGGCCUGGCCGCCCAGCUCCCGCUCCCCCCGCGGAGCCGGGGUUAGGCCCGGUCCUUGCAGCUCGGCCUGGCCUAGGCCGGCUCAGCACCGCCGGGCGCUCAGAACACAUGAGAAAGAUUUGAGUUUUUUUUUUCAAUUAAUAUUAAACAAACAAACAAACAAACAACACAACUACAAAGUGAUUGUAGAGUAGAAGAUAGAAGAGUGAAUCGCUGCUCUGGCCGCUACAGUAAUUUUCACCUUUGUGUAACAGAAGACCCCAAAGCAACCGUGUAUAAAAGAAAUCCCCGGGUUUUUAAGAGUCUUAUUUUUUCUGUUUCAUAACCCGUGAUGCAGGGACGGUGAUCAGCGGCAGCGCUGCAGGCCUGCAGCUCCAAACGAGGGAAGCCAGAGCUGUGGUUUCUUACCCUCAUUAAAAUGGAAACCCAAACCUGAAACAAUCAAAGUCAAGGGCUAGCAGAGUUGGCCUACUGUGGAGAUAAUGGGAUCACAAGACAAAAUAUUUUGCAUCUUAAAAGAUGAAAGCUAUUGUUAUUUUUCUAGUGCUUCAUCAUUGUGUAUUGUGUUGAUAACUGUUUCUAUGUUUCCCCCACACACCAUGUUCUUCUGUUCUCUGACCAUGCAGAUAAAAGUCAGUUCUCUUGAAUAAAUGAAUCAUUGAAAAAUAAA